rnacentral:rRNA from 1 species
UACGAAGGUCCCGAGCGUUGUUCGGAAUCACUGGGCGUAAAGGGAGCGUAGGCGGCGUGGUAAGUCAGAUGUGAAAUCCCCGGGGCUCAACCCGGAACUGCAUCCGAUACUGCCGUGCUAGAGGAUUGGAGAGGUAGCUGGAAUUCUUGGUGUAGCAGUGAAAUGCGUGGAGAUCAAGAGGAACACUCGUGGCGAAAGCGAGCUACUGGACAAUAUCUGACGCUGAGGCUCGAAGCCAGGGUAGCGAAAGGG